UACGUAGGGUGCAAGCGUUGUCCGGAAUUUAUUGGGCGUAAAGAGCUCGUAGGCGGUUUGUCGCGUCUGCUGUGAAAACCCGAGGCUCAACCUCGGGCCUGCAGUGGGUACGGGCAGACUAGAGUGCGGUAGGGGAGAUUGGAAUUCCUGGUGUAAGCGGUGGAAUGCGCAGAUAAUCAGGAGGAACACCAAUGGCGGAGGCAGAUCUCUGGGCCGUAACUGACGCUGAGGAGCGAAAGCAUGGGGAGCGAACAGG
rnacentral:rRNA from 1 species